CAGAUGUGGGGGGUACGAUCAAGUGCAGCCUGCACGUGCGAAUAUUAAACAGUUGCUUCGUGACAAGCAUUUGUACAGAUAUCAGCUAUCUGUGCUUUUAAUCAUUUUUCGUCCUGUCAACUAUAAAAUGAAGAUAACCUUCGAGUAUCGAGUACACGGAAAAUUUUAUAAAGCUUCCGUUGAAGCAUGGCGAAGCAUACUGAUUCCAAGCAGCGUAGAUCACAGUGCAGAAUUCAUUAAGGAAAGUCGGAGAAGUACCAAGCGAGAACCGCGUCGAACAGAAGAAGGUGGGCACGACACCCACGUUUGCCGACCACGUACAGGAUAUUUCAGCGUGGAAGAAGCGGAAAAAGG